GGAGAUGGAAAACAUUUUAUGGGCAGGGACUAUCUCAUUUUUGUUUUCAUGUCUCUAGGGCUCAGCACAAUGAGGCACUUCAAAACUUCUUGUUGAACAGACUUGAACACAGACAUUUGAUGCUACACUGUAGGGUACAGAGAGAAGACAAAGAAAAAAGGACUGGGAUCCUGAUGUUAGCAACUUAUUCUGUCCUCACUGUUCCAUCCAUCUGAUGAGAAAACAGAUCCCAGAGAGGUGAAAAGAUUUGCCUUGUAUCUAGAAUAUAAAAUUUCAUGGCAAGAGGAAAGUCUCUUGUCCCAGACUUCCCAGUGUACUCACUAUGCUGCUUCAGAGACAUCAUUGAAUCACAUGAUUAUGGUCUUCCAAGAAAGAGUUCUGGAUUGGAUCAAAUGACAUACUAGAUGAAAGGCCUUGGUGAACUAUAAAGCAUGACUCAUAGGUUUGUUGACUGCCUUAUAUACAUGCUGAAGCUAAGAAUAAACAAGAGAAAGACAAUGAGUUUGCCCUCUGGACUGAGCCUUGAGUUCAUAUUCAUUGGUAUAAGUCAAAGCAAUUUGGGACUCCUGAAAGUGGUAAAGAGUCAAGUCUUCAGAGAAAUGUGGUAUUACUUUGACAGAACCAGACCCCUCCUUUCCCUCCCAUGAUGGGUUGGAAGAUUAGGAUCUUCCUGAGGAAAUUAAGCAAGGAAUUUCUAAUGUAAGUCAGAUUGAGGUUUCAGGAAGUCUAAGUUAAAAGAUAGACCUAAGCCUAUAGGCACAAGUUAGUUGGGAAUGUUCUAUGUUUCAAUGAGUUUUAUUCCUGGGGUACAGAAUCUUCUUUUGGAGAGGAAAUACCCAUUACAGCCAAGGCUUAGAGAACUAACAGAUUCUCUUUAGGGGAAGAAAAGUGAUUAAAGGUUCUCCCCACACCUCCCCACUCUGAUAUCUAAUUAUGAGAAAGCCUUGCUUUUCUAAAAGAUGCAGUUGAAAUUCUUUGUACUUUAUGCUAAAAGACAUGUUGAGAAAUGUUAGAGUCCAUUACUUCCCUUAAGAGAGAGACACCACCUUGUUGUUUAGUUGGUUUCAGUUGUGUCUGACUUUCAAGUCAGACCCUAUUAGGGUUUUUAUUGAGAGAUGCUGGAGUGGUUUGCCGUUUUAUUUUCCAGCUAUUUUACUAAUGAGGAAACUGAGGCAAAUAAGAUUAAGUGACUUGCUUAGCAUCAUACACUAGUGAGUGUCUGAGGCCAGAUUUGAACUCCGAAGAGAGUUACAGAAUUUAGGACUGGCAUUUUAUACACUGUGCCACCUAGCUGCACUUAGUUGAGGGUUGUAGUUGAAUCCAACAUCUGGAAGAAAAGGAAGCUACAUAACUUUAUGCCAGGGGAGUAAUAACUGGCAAUAGCCAGCAGUCAUCAUGGGAUUAAUGCAGAAUUGUUAAGCCGGCACUAUGAGAAACUAUGAAGAACACCUGACAGGAUUACAUGCCACACCUGAAAGACACUAUCUAUGGGACACAGAUUGCUGUGGAGAGAGAGCAAGGCCAGACGGAGCAAGUCUGUGGACAUCAACAGAAGGGAGUGACUAUUUAGUAUUUAGGUUAUGAGUGGCUUUUCAUAUGUGUGUCUUGCACACAUAUUCUCUCAGGAUGUUCUUCCUUAUAUGUAUCUACUUUUCCCAUUGGUGUACACCUUUGUGGUAGAAUAUUUUUCAGGUAAAUGUCUUAUUGUAUGAUAUAUCUUACUGUCAUAUUUCAUCAAAUACUUAUUUGAGCUAAUCAUGCCCUUUAUUGAUUUGUAAGGGAAGAGAAAAGAAUAAACAUUUAUUAAAGUGCCUACUACUGUGCUAA
rnacentral:lncRNA from 1 species